AGUUUGAGGGUAUAUAAAGGCAGAAGAGUAGUGCAAAACUCCACAACACGUUUUUUUAACAACCUUCAACAUGCGUUUUUUUGCGAAUAUUCUAAUUUUAUUGGCUAUUGUGGCCAUGGCCUUGGGUCAGCAACAAUCUCCUCCUGCUGAUUACGAGAAUGCAGCCAAUGCCGAAUCCCAACCAAGGGAAGAUCCUGCCAAGAUUGGUUUCUCCUUUGAAUUUGGAAAAUAAAAAGUUGUGGCAAUUGUAUUUUGAUUUAUGGGAAAUAAAAUAAAAACCAUUUAAUCGGUUUUGCCGAUAGAUGUA